rnacentral:rRNA from 1 species
UACAGAGACUGCGAGCGUUAUUCGGAUUCACUGGGCGUAAAGGGUGCGCAGGUGGCUAGGUGUGUUAGGCGUGAAAGCCCGGGGCUUAACCCCGGAAUUGCACCUAAAACUACUUGGCUAGAGCAUUGGAGAGGGGAGCAGAAUUCAUGGUGUAGCAGUGAAAUGCGUUGAUAUCAUGAGGAAUACCAGAGGCGAAGGCGGCUCCCUGGACAAUUGCUGACACUCAGGCACGAAAGCGUGGGGAGCAAAAGGG